rnacentral:guide_RNA from 1 species
AGUAACAAACAAAAACAGAAAAUGGAUGCGAGUAAAAUAGAUAAUGGU